GCGGCAGGGGCCACCAGCGCAGGCUCUCCUCCUCACAGAAGCCGGGAGCUGGUCAUCCAAGAAGAAGCAGCCUCGUUUGUUUCGGGUGUCAUCGUAGGUGUCCACCUUUGGCUUUGGGGCUUCUUGCCUGGGACAGGUGGGUGCUCCACCUCCCUUCCCCUCCCUUUCCUCCUCAAGGGCACCAGAGCCGUAUCCAGAACCAUGGACAGCUCCCAGGCGAGCCCAAAAGAGUGGGAAAGAUGUGACCAAAGUCACUCAGCGGGUUAAUGGAAAGGCCAAGAUCCAGGCUUCUAAUUUCCAGCUUCUUAAGGAGUCUCCUUGCCUGAAUUGGUUGGAACAGGCAUAUUGCUGGAACAGCCAGGUCUUGCUUACUCCUGCCUUGGGAAGUCCUUCCCAAUGUCUAACCAAGAUCUGUACCGCUGAAGUACCAGUUCUUUGACCCUCGGCUUGACAUGGCUAAUUUGAGAGGCACAGGGAGGAACUGACCUUGAUUUGGCACCUGCUUGCUUGUACCAAAAAGAAGAACCUACUUCACCCACUUGUCCUGGGUUCCCUCUGAGACGCUGUCUUGAUUGACUGAAAGAUGAGGCUAAACUCUAGCAAGUUGAGUGGCUCCUCCCAGAAUCCUUUAAGCAGGAUAGAAGUGGGGAGGCCCCAGCCUCCAGCCUGGGCAGCCCGUUAGACUGGAGCCGCCUGGCAAAGACUUUAUUUCAUCAUUGCUCCAGUGUCUGCAAGCUGUCCAUCCUGGCCAGCCCUGGUUUCCCCUGUGUCGUCUGAACUGAGAAUCUUCUGAGAUGGAAGUCCCAUCUCAUGCCUAAUAAAGACUCUCAAAUAUUGA
rnacentral:lncRNA from 1 species